CGAGCAGUAGGGAAUCUUCCGCAAUGGACGAAAGUCUGACGGAGCAACGCCGCGUGAGCGAAGAAGGCCUUCGGGUCGUAAAGCUCUGUUGUAAGGGAAGAACAAGCAUCGGUUAACUGCCGGUGCCCUGACGGUACCUUACCAGAAAGCCACGGCUAACUACGUGCCAGCAGCCGCGGUAAUACGUAGGUGGCAAGCGUUGUCCGGAAUUAUUGGGCGUAAAGCGCGCGCAGGCGGUUUUUUAAGUCUGAUGUGAAAGCCCACGGCUCAACCGUGGAGGGUCAUUGGAAACUGGGAGACUUGAGUGCAGAAGAGGAAAGCGGAAUUCCACGUGUAGCGGUGAAAUGCGUAGAGAUGUGGAGGAACACCAGUGGCGAAGGCGGCUUUCUGGUCUGUAACUGACGCUGAGGCGCGAAAGCGUGGGGAGCAAACAGGAUUAGAUACCCUGGUAGUCCACGCCGUAAACGAUGAGUGCUAAGUGUUAGGGGGUUUCCGCCCCUUAGUGCUGCAGCUAACGCAUUAAGCACUCCGCCUGGGGAGUACGGCCGCAAGGCUGAAACUCAA
rnacentral:rRNA from 1 species